rnacentral:lncRNA from 1 species
AUUCUUUGAAAAUUUCAAUGGCAAUGGAGAGAAUUUUUGAUACUUUUAGCAAAAAAAUAUAGUAUUAGAUAUCUUAUUUAUAGUCAAAGAAGUUCAAUGAAGAUUAUCAAAAGCACAUAUUUGAGUGGCGUAGUGGCAAAAAGAGAUUUUGAUGUAGAUUUUAAAUUUUAUACUUGGAUAUUAUUUAUCAAAAUAAUAAUAAUUUUGAUCUAAAUUAGAUUAUUUUCUAACAAGGUAAUUUUUUGUAGAUAGAUAUUAUCUUAGAGUAGGCAAAUAGGAAGAAUAGAAUUAUCUUUAGCAAAAAGUCCAUAUGUUUGAUUUUUUGUUAGAAUGCCAUCUUUUUUUUAUUAUAGUCACUUAUUUUGAAUAAUUAUUUUUACAAGUCAAGGACAUAGAAUGUGUUAAUAAGGUGAAUAGUUUUUUCA